AUGAACGCUGGCGGCGUGCCUAAUACCUGCAAGUCGAGCGAACAGACGAGGAGCUUGCUCCUCUGACGUUAGCGGCGGACGGGUGAGUAACACGUGGAUAACCUACCUAUAAGACUGGGAUAACUUCGGGAAACCGGAGCUAAUACCGGAUAAUAUAUUGAACCGCAUGGUUCAAUAGUGAAAGACGGUUUUGCUGUCACUUAUAGAUGGAUCCGCGCCGCAUUAGCUAGUUGGUAAGGUAACGGCUUACCAAGGCGACGAUGCGUAGCCGACCUGAGAGGGUGGUCGGCCACACUGGAACUGAGACACGGUCCAGACUCCUACGGGAGGCAGCAGUAGGGAAUCUUCCGCAAUGGGCGAAAGCCUGACGGAGCAACGCCGCGUGAGUGAUGAAGGUCUUCGGAUCGUAAAACUCUGUUAUUAGGGAAGAACAAAUGUGUAAGUAACUAUGCACGUCUUGACGGUACCUAAUCAGAAAGCCACGGCUAACUACGUG
rnacentral:rRNA from 1 species